rnacentral:sRNA from 1 species
GAAAGCCGAAUCCAGCCCAGGAGCGGGGGAACCAAAUGAUUUUGGGGUGAACGCAUCCACCGGGAUAUCUUGCGGUAUAACGGUGGGAGCGCGGGUGGUCUUCUCUACCCGAACCCGGCAGCUAACCUCGUAGGCGAACAGAGAGAGGA